GAGAGAGAAAGUGGAAUAUUUUUUGCUUUUUUUUUUUAAUUUGAGAUUUGGAAAUUUUAGGAAUUUAUAGGAAUUUAUAGGAAUUUUGGAUUUUCGUUAU
rnacentral:ribozyme from 1 species